rnacentral:rRNA from 1 species
AUGAGGAAUGCUUACACUAUAGGCAUGAGAAGCACACAAUUAAGUGAGAUCUUGAACAGUGACUUGAAAGAUCAUCUAUAGUCUGAUCUUGACAUCGUUCGGUUUUUCAAGCACGUAGAGAGGGUUGUGUUGGGGAACGUAGGCAACUAUAUUUUGAAGUGAUGGACUCGAGAAGCGCGAAGCGGCACUAUACAAAACAGCCAUGGAAACAUUGUUUUGGAAGAUCCUAGAUCAGAAGGCAGACAACAUUUGAAGUUUUUCAUGCACGAGUUCCUUGGCAUUGCUUCACAAGCAGUUACAUCAGAACAGUGUAUCAAACUAAAGAUAUAUCUAAAGAACCAGACGAUUGUUUAAAGGAUGCUUGCCCAAAGAAAUAGGAAAUUCCAAAGAAAAAUUCAAGAAGAAAGAAAUCAUGGCUUGACAAUCAUCACCCAAAUAAAAAGAAGAAGGAGACAACUAAAGCGGUACCCAAAAAUCAAAAUCAUUCUGUAA